UUCUAUCAAAUUUUCUGUGUUCUCAGGUUAAUAAGAGGUUAGAUACCCUUAUAUUGAGUUGGAAGUUUUUUCCUUGGUUUAAACUAAAAGAAUUUGGCAGCCGACGAGGUUCAUCCGGGGGAGUGUGCUUUUUAAACAGAUAGUCCGCUUAUGAUUUUACCCUCAAUAGUUAAGUUAGUGUAUAUCCGAUUUAAGAUUUGUGGCGUGUGCUGUUAAUAAGUGUAGAUUAAGAAUUUAAGUCAGGUC
rnacentral:rRNA from 1 species